UUCAGGACUUGGACCCAAUGGCUGGAAUUGCUUAGGGCCCCAAAAUCCCUGCAGGGAUUCCUUAUUAUUUUCCUUAUUGAGUCCAUGUAAGAUGGAAUAUAAAUCCAAUGUUCAGAAUCUUGGACCACACAUGUAUGCAAAUUAGCACAUAUUUAAUGAUAUAAUAUUUUUUUACACAUUUAAACAUUACAUUUUAGAAAAGCUGUACCUCUAAAACACAUAUAUUUGCAAUUCUUGAUAUAAUUCAUCAAUUGGGGAAAUAUGGUGAUACCAUUAAUUAAUUAAUUAAUUGAUUUAUUGACUUACAUUAAAUAAGUUUCUUCACAAAAGUCUAUUCUGCAAAGUGCAUGAUAUCGGACAAGGGGUGGGGUCAUGCGUGAAAGGGGCGUGGUCAGACGAGCCGUCUAAGCACGUGUAGACAAAGCGCAUCAUCAAUACAACCAAACAUCCGAACGCGGAAAGUUUUGCGCUUAUGGAUUAUAACGACAAAACGGGAUUGCCUCUCAGUGGACCUCCACACGUGUUUGACAAAACUCUCCGAAGAUGACAUCCUGACGUAGGUUCUUGUGUGGGAGCUGAGGUCUUUUCCCAGACACAACAGAAGCCAGAGCCUGUGGUUGAUUUCAUGACUUCCUCCUCAUUGUUUGCCUGUCUGCGUGACUGGAAACCGGCAGUGACAGACCGAUGACUCCGGCCUCUCUUUAACCAGGCUUGUGGAGAAACUGGACCUGGCUCCCUCUGAAGUACUUGAUGUCCAAAUUAUCUCGGCACAAUGCUGCCAAGUCAUUUUGCUGGUUUGCACACAACUCUGCACCUAGUGGUCACUGUGAGUAGCAGUUAACUCUCCCCUCUAUUUAUCUUCCAUUUGGUUACAUUUCAAUAUAAUUAUUUGUUCAGCAGGUGCCUUUAUCCAAACCGUUUUACAAAUACUUCAAAACCAGAAGAGCAGUAUGUACAUUAUGAGCAGAAAAAAAAAAUAAAAAAUUCAGGGGAGAGGGUACUGGUGCAGGGGGUUGUUGGAUGGUGUCCUGUUUACACACACACACACACAAUGAUAACAAAAUAGGUCUAAAUACAUUUUUCAUAUGAGAAAAAAACACCAACCAGGGCUUGACCUUAACUUUUUUUGAUCACCAGCCGCUGUG